rnacentral:lncRNA from 1 species
GGCGGAUCUCCGUGACUAGUCUACGUUUGGGGAAGACGCACGGGGCUCAAGUUCUCGUGGCAGUCGAGCACUGUAGACACUCCUUCUCCCCUCCUUUCUUAUACCUCCUCUAUCCAUCUGUCAUUAACGAGUGGCACGUUUUGUUUGGUCAAGAUGGGGCAGGAACAUGCUAGACCUGCUAAAGGUUUAUUGGCUUGUGAUAUUGUGAAAGAAAGGGCAGGGGAAGAUGCUAUGAUGAAACUUAAAAAGAUUGCCAAGGUGUGUGGCUUUCAGAUGUUACCCAGUGGGAGAUUGCAACCGGAGUUUUGGAGAAAGCUACUCAUAGAUAAGGAAGGUUUAUUGUUGGAUAACGGACUGACAAAGGUUGCAGAGGCUUGGUAUCGUGUAGCCAGAGGUUUGAAACGGGAAGGAUGGGUCGAGGAAGAGUUGGAAUUUGAAGGACAAAUUGUGCAUGUUUACCAUAGGAGUGUUCACAAUGAUGAUGUUGUUUCCAUUGUUCCACGGCCACCACCCUAUGAUGGCGCCCAGAGCGCAACAGUAAAUUCCCGCCCUGCUUCUCCCGUCACAGCUCAGACCCCACCCCCCGGGGGUGUGCCUACAGCCCCCACUCCCCUAUGUCCUGUACUCGGUGUAGACGGAGCUUACUAUUUCCCAGUGCCACAUCACUCGUUCCCACCCACUCCCAUGCCCCAACCCUCCUGUGACCAGACCCCCUCUUUCAACCAUCAUCCCGCCAUGUCCAUCGGAGCCCCCCCACCUCCAUGCCCUCCGUUACCUUUCCCAGCGCCAGUCCUCACCCCGAGCACUGCCCCGACUAUUCCCGCCUCGACCAUGGAAGUUCCAUCCCCCUCCUCCUCCCAGUCCCUCUCCACUUUGAGUACCCCUUCCCUAGUAGUCCCCGCUCCUUCUCCCUCUCCGUCCGUCCUACGUCCUACACCCCCCGCUCCUACCUACCCAACCGACCCUGUCUCCCCGGACCCCUGUCCCCCGGUCGACUCUCCCUCCCCGGUAUCCUCAGGAAACCCUGUGACCCCCAGCCCUGCACCUCCAUUGUCCCCCACCCCUUCUCAUCUCCUCUCCUCCUCCUCCUCAUCUUCCAAAGAUCCCCCGUCCCUACUCUCCGCUCUCAUGAAUCUUGUUCAGCCCGUUAGUCCCGGUUCCUUUACCUCCGGCCCCCUAUCCACAGUUACCCCUCCCAUCCUCAAGGACCCUCUUACUCCUCCUCCAGCGUUACCUCCUCCUGAAACCCCAGCCCCCUCUGCCCUGUUGCCUCCUACUCCCGCGGCCGAUUUGCCGUCCCUAAUCUCCGCCCUCACCGCCCUAACCCAACCCAUUGCCGUCACCCCUCUUACUCCUCCUCCAGCGUUACCUCCUCCUGAAACCCCAGCCCCCUCUGCCUUGUUGCCUCCUACUCCCGCGGCCGAUUUGCCGUCCCUAAUCUCCGCCCUCAGCACCCUAACCCAGCCUCCCGUCGCAAUCCCCCCGGCCUCUUUUCCCCUGUUACCACCCCCCGACAUCCCUGCCCCCCCGACCCUGACACAGGCCCUUGGUCCCGUCCCUCCGACCCUUUCCCCCAUGACCCCUGACACACACAUGACCAAUGACCUGUCCGGCUCAAUAUCCGCCCUCUUCACUGCUGUUACUUCCCUAGUUACUUCCGCGACCCCCGUACCACCUCCCAUUGACG